GACGAACCGUACGACCGUUAUUCGGAAUUACUGGGCGUAAAGUGUGCGCAGGCGGCGUCGCAAGUCGAGUGUGAAAGCCCCGGGCUUAACUUGGGAAUUGCGCUCGAAACUACGAUGCUGGAGUGUGGCAGAGGAAGGUGGAAUUCCACGUGUAGCGGUGAAAUGCGUAGAGAUGUGGAGGAACACCAAUGGCGAAGGCAGCCUUCUGGGCCAACACUGACGCUCAUGCACGAAAGCGUGGGGAGCAAACAGG
rnacentral:rRNA from 1 species